AUGAAGCCCAGCAGGGCAGCAAUGUUGGCCAUGGUAGGCCUAGUGGCCGCGGUGCUGUCCCCCGCGGCCUUGUCCACGGCGGCGCCGUCGUUGAUCUCUUUGCCCAACUCCGACAGCCCCUCCUAUGACUUCCACGACGAGUCAUGUCCAAACCUGUGGCAGAUGGUGCACGACGCCGUGGAGGAAGCAAUCAAGGAGGAUAUCGGUGUUGUCGCCGGCCUCCUCCGCGUCAUGUUCCACGACUGCUUCCCACAGGGCUGUGAUGCGUCGCUUCUACUGUCUGACAAGUUCUGGAGCGAGCUGAACAUGCCUCAGAACAAUGGAAUCAGAAGGAACGCAGUGUAUCUCAUUGAGAGCAUUCGCGUCAAGGUUCAAGAUACCUGCGGGCCCACUGUCUCCUGCACGGACAUCAUGAACCUCGCCACCCGCGAGGCUGUGAUGCACUUCGAGGUGCCAGGCUACGAGGUGCCGCUUGGUCUACUGGAUAGCCGCGCGCCCGCUCCCAGAGAGAACGUAGAGCAGCUGCCGGGCCCCGACUUCAACACCACCCAGCUCAUCGAAUCCUUCCAGAGUCGCGGUUUCGACAUCACCGACGUCGUGGCCCUCUCCGGUGCGCACACGAUCGGGAGGUCAAGCUGCGGCAGCUUCAGGAACCGCUUUGGAGAGAACGCCGACUUUGUUCGUUGGCUCCAGGGCACCUGCGCCAGAAACCCUAACCACCUACAGGACCUGGAUGUGACCACCCCUGAGAAGUUCGACAACGUGUACUACAACAACCUGAAGGAGGGGAAGGGGGUUCUCAACUCCGACAUGGCCCUCACACGCGACGCCAGCACCAGCUGGCUGGUCGACGGCUUUGCACAGGACCAAGGGUGGUUCUUUUCCCAGUUCGGCACCUCCAUGAGGAAGAUGGCGCAUUUGCCGAGUGAGUUCGGAAGGAACGGCGAGAUCCGCAAGUACAGCUGCUCCUGGGCUAACUUGCAUGGCCCGAAGGGGCCUACUGCUGACCUUGCGGCAUCAGCUUGA
rnacentral:rRNA from 1 species